GGUGAACGCUGGCGGCGUGCUUAAGACAUGCAAGUCGAACGCAGUCUUCGGACUGAGUGGCGCACGGGUGAGUAACACGUAACUGACCUACCCCCAAGUCGCGAAUAACCAGCCGAAAGGAUGGCUAAUACGGGAUGUGAUGAUCCGCUGUGGCGGAUCAUUAAAGACUUGAUCGCUUGGGGACGGGGUUGCGUUCCAUCAGCGAGUUGGUAAGGUAAAGGCUUACCAAGGCAACGACGGAUAGCCGGCCUGAGAGGGUGGCCGGCCACAGGGGCACUGAGACACGGGUCCCACUCCUACGGGAGGCAGCAGUUAGGAAUCUUCCACAAUGGGCGCAAGCCUGAUGGAGCGACGCCGCGUGAGGGAUGAAGGUUCUCGGAUCGUAAACCUCUGAACCAACGACGAAAGACCCGACAAGGGAGAUGACGGUAGUUGGGUAAUAGCACCGGCUAACUCCGUGCCAGCCGCCGCGGUAACAC
rnacentral:rRNA from 1 species